GCAGUGGUAGUUCAGUGGUAGAAUUCUCACCUUCCAUGCGGGAGACCUGGGUUCGAUUCCUGGCCAAUACA
rnacentral:tRNA from 1 species